rnacentral:rRNA from 1 species
AGAGUUUGAUCCUGGCUCAGGACGAACGCUGGCGGCGUGCCUAAUGCAUGCAAGUCGAGCGGGCUACGAUCUUCGGAUUGUAGCUUAGCGGCGAACGGGUGAGUAACACGUAGGUGAUCUACCCUUCAGAGGAGGACAACCUCAGGAAACUGAGGCUAAACCUUCAUACGUUCACUGGUAGGGAUACUGGUGAAGAAAGAGUUACCCCUAGAGGGUAGCUGCUGAAGGAUGAGCCUGCGGCCCAUCAGGUAGUUGGUGAGGUAACGGCUCACCAAGCCGAAGACGGGUAACCGGUCUGAGAGGAUGUCCGGUCACACUGGGACUGAGACACGGCCCAGACUCCUACGGGAGGCAGCAGCAGGGAAUCUUGGGCAAUGGGCGAAAGCCUGACCCAGCGACGCCGCGUGGAGGAAGAAGUCCUUCGGGGCGUAAACUCCUGGACUGGGGGACGAGUAAGGACGGUACCCCAGUAGAAAGGGACGGCUCACUACGUGCCAGCAGCCGCGGUAAAACGUAGGUCCCGAGCGUUGUUCGGAUUCACUGGGUGUAAAGGGCGCGUAGGUGGUUGUCUGUGUCUCAUGUGAAAACUCAGGGCUCAACUCUGAGAUUGCGUGGGAAACUAGGCAGCUAGAGGACGGUAGAGGGGAGUGGAAUUCCCGGUGUAGCGGUAAAAUGCGUAGAUAUCGGGAGGAACACCGGUGGCGAAGGCGGCUCUCUGGGCCGAUCCUGACGCUGAGGCGCGAAAGCUAGGGGGGCGAACCGGAUUAGAUACCCGGGUAGUCCUAGCCGUAAACGAUGGGUGCUAGGUGUUG